rnacentral:rRNA from 1 species
AGCAGCCGCGGUAAUUCCAGCUCCAAUAGCGUAUAUUAAAGUUGUUGCAGUUAAAAAGCUCGUAGUUGAAUUUCGGGAUCAAUAUGUUGGUCGUGCCUUGGUACGUACUAAUUUAUUGGUUUCUUCCUUCUGACGAACCAUGAUGUCAUUAAUUUGGUGUCUUGGGGAAUCAGGACUGUUACUUUGAAAAAAUUAGAGUGUUUAAAGCAGGCUCACGCUUGAAUACAUUAGCAUGGAAUAAUGAAAUAGGACGUUUGAUUCUAUUUUGUUGGUUUCUAGGAUUGACGUAAUGAUUAAUAGGGAUAGUUGGGGGCAUUAGUAUUCAAUUGUCAGAGGUGAAAUUCUUGGAUUUAUUGAAGACUAACUACUGCGAAAGCAUUUGCCAAGGAUGUUUUCAUUAAUCAAGAACGAAAGUUAGGGGAUCGAAGACGAUCAGAUACCGUCGUAGUCUUAACCAUAAACUAUGCCGACUACGGGAUCGGAUGAUGUUAAUUUUUAAUGACUCAUUCGGCGCCUUACG